GAUGAACGCUGGCGGCGUGCCUAACACAUGCAAGUCGAGCGAUCCUCUUCGGAGAAGAGCGGCGGACGGGUGAGUAACGCGUGGGUAACCUGCCCUGUACACACGGAUAACAUACCGAAAGGUAUGCUAAUACGAGAUAAUAUACUUUUAUCGCAUGGUAGAAGUAUCAAAGCUUUUGCGGUACAGGAUGGACCCGCGUCUGAUUAGCUGGUUGGUAAGGUAACGGCUUACCAAGGCGACGAUCAGUAGCCGACCUGAGAGGGUGAUCGGCCACAUUGGAACUGAGACACGGUCCAAACUCCUACGGGAGGCAGCAGUGGGGAAUAUUGCACAAUGGGCGAAAGCCUGAUGCAGCAACGCCGCGUGAGCGAUGAAGGCCUUCGGGUCGUAAAGCUCUGUCCUCAAGGAAGACAAUGACGGUACUUGAGGAGGAAGCCCCGGCUAACUACGUGCCAGCAGCCGCAGUAAGAC
rnacentral:rRNA from 1 species